GACACGGUCACGGCACGGCACGGCCCGGCGGGACGCAGCCCGACCCGACGCGGCACAGCCCGGCCCGGCUCUGCCCUACUGGGCACAGCCCGCAGCCUCUCCGCCACCCCGCCCGGCACAGCCCGCCGCCGCCCGCCUCGCCUUUUCAUUCUUGUAACGACUUUUAGCGAUUAGCCCCGUGAUUUCUGUUCCCCGCGGGACUCCGCACCCGGAGCGUCUCCCCCCGAAGGGGCUCCGCAGCCGUACGCCGUUCCCGUCCCGGCCGUGCCCCGGGGCUGCCGCUGUCACUCACCGCGCGGCCAUCCCCGCCUCCCUCAUUAGGAAGCUCCCCAUUUUCAGCCGCAGUUACGGCUUUGCAAACGGCGAACAUCGGGCGAAUAUUUCAGCGUCGGCCUCGCUCGGCCCUACUCUUUUUUCCUGCUAGGUCCCCUCUACGAGCUGCCCUUCUCGUUGCCCCGUGGGCUCAGCGACACCGCGUCAACGGAACGCAACGAUUUGUCCCGUGCUCCCUGCGUCUGCCCAUCCCCGGCAGAUCAGACGUGCGGUGUGCCGCUUUUACUUCGUUUCCCGCAAAAGGAGACCCAUCUGUCCCCCUCUCGGGUGGCGAGUGGCAAAGAGAGGGGCCGGCGCCGAGCUGUAGGAUCACAUUCCCUAAUGGAGCUCUCUUCAAGCUGGCUUCGCCCAACAGCGUCCCACCAGCAGCCCCUUGGGGUCCCCCCCCUGCGGUGUCGGGGUGCCAGGCGGCCCCCACCUGCUGUGCCCGAGGGCCCUCGGUGCUGGAAGGGCUGAGCCCCAUGCAGCCGUGGGACGAAGCUGCAGGGCCAGCUCCACGCUCAGUGCUGAGAGCUGUGGGCACCGCGCGGGCUGCAGUGAUGGAGUUUGUGAAACUCGCAGUGGAGGAGAAACGCUUUCAGUUCUUCGCUGACUUCGCGUUGCCUUUUUUCCCCCCGCUGCUCACAGUGAUAUAAUUACUUGGGGCAAACGGGCGGCCGGUUCCCAUAGAAAUGCUUUAGUGGAAGCGGGCUAAAGUUCUUGCGGGAAAACCCGCAGCCCCGGCGCCGCAAUAACGAAGCCGGGCACUUUGAUGGAAAUUAACGGGAGUUUUGUAAGGAGCGCGUUGGGGGAUGGCAGGCAGCCCUUAUCUGCGGUUCCAGUCAACUAGCAAUCCUGAAAGAGUUUGCAUCAUCAUCAGAGCAGCCCGUUUGAUAGGAUUCUGUGCUGCGCCUAAUCAAUCUAUGGGAUACCGGGCUGUGCGGUGUAACAAAGCUAAAAUAGAUUUACAAAUGGGGUUUUAGAGGAUAAGCUCCUCCACAGGAUUACAUAUUGAUUUUAAAUAUAAAAAGCUUAUCAUAUAAACCAUAACUACAAAAAUAGUGAACCUAUGCAUAAAUCCUUUUAGAAGAGCACCCACUUCAAACUGGAAGCCAGGAAUAAAUCAAGAUGUACAAAACGCUAAAGAAGAUCCAUUUCUUGGGCAGAAAACGAACACCCGCCUCCCAAGCUCAGGGAGGCGGAUAAAAAGUCCGGCUUUUGUUUGGCGCUCUCCUGUUUCGUAGCAGCGCUGCAGCCGCUCGCGCACCCCGCGGCCCCGUCCCGCAGCCGGCUCUGCCCGCAGCCUUCCUCGCCGUGAGCAGCAGGGCAAACUGCCUGUGGAACACAUCAGCAGCACGGCCACGCGUGGAAGUUACAGCGAUUCGCCCCAGCAGCAAUCGCCAUCUCUCAAGGAGUUCUUUUGAUUCAUUUUUUACUUUCCAACCCGGGUCGGCGUUCUGCCUCACAACCCCAUCUUUGAGACACACGGCCCGGUUGGCCCUGGGCUGCGUUUUGCUUUCUCUUUGGCAUUUUGCUGUCCUUUUGUUAGGAGGACUUCUCCUUUUGUGGGCUUUGAGGUAGAAGCAGAGCGCUGCCAAAACUUCUGAUGGGGUAACCAUUUCCUUUAUGGUGCAAAACUCUCAGCACAGACUUUGUUGCAUAAAUAAAAAUAAUAAGCAAAUUUUCCAGCGCACCUCCGUUUAUUCCCUAAGCCCCUGUUUACUCUAUCAUCAAUAGUGGGGAAAAAAAAGAAAGAAAGAAAGAAAGAAAAAGAAAAAAUUAAAAAAAAAAAAAAGACAAAACCUUGCUGGGUUUCAGCAUCGCGCUCUGAACUUGCAGAAAAGAAAAGUAAAGAAGACAGAUGUUGUCCCAGUCAGUGUGAGCAGCACAGGGCUGCUCUGCCAUCCCCAGACAGAAACACAUGGGUGAGGCCACCGAGCAUUUAGAUUUAAGGUUUGAAGCACAGUAUCUCUCACGUCCUCCUUGGUUUUAGAGCGUUCCACGUACUGACUGUUGCAGUGGUAUGAUUCCCUGCUAAUCCAGCUGUCUCUGCAGCAAGCUGUGUGUACAUUCCUGACCCAAGUUUACCCAAGGAUACGGUGCAGGCAGCCUUAUGCAGAAACACAACCACAGAUGGACAGAUAGGAAAAGCUACCUGCAACCUGCUGCUUUCCUGCUCCAAACUUACGCUGCCAGUGAAGUCUCCAAACUAAUUAGAAUCGAUUUAUUAUGGAUCAGGUACCUUAUCAGGUGAAGAAAGAAAUUACCAUGGACAGUCAAAGGGUUAAGAGGUCAAUACCGAAUAGCAAAAUCAAUUUGCAUUGAUCAGACAAAAGGUCCAUUUUGCAGAGCCCAAAGGAUUAACUUUUAAGCAAACAGCUUUGAACUAUACGACAGCAUUUGUGACUGAGAGCUAUAAGCAGCACAGCAUUAUAAAACACUUAAGAUAUUUAAAUAAGAAAAUAAUGCAGGCAGUGGGUUAAGCUAUCUGGAUGUUUAUUUUUUAUUAUGAAUCAUCCCUAGGAUUAUUGUACAAUUCACUCCAAAGCCCUGUGGAAAGUUUGGGCUGUUUCCCUGAUCCCGCGUGUCAAUCUGCCCCUGGGCCUUGUUCAGGUGAGGUGACUGAGCACGGGGAGUGCAGAGAACGGAGAAAACGGGUGUGUGGUUCUGCCCUGAUCCCAGUGUCUCCCCAACCAAGUGUUUGCUUGGCAAACGCACCGCUUCGCCAUGAAAAGGAGGCCCUUUUUCCCAGCAAGGUGCUGGCGUGAGACCCACCCGCAGGGCAGAAGGCAGAGCUCCCUCCGGCAGGUCACUCUGUCCGGUCUCUGCGGCCAGAAGCAGCGCGACGCUGCUCCAAAACCAGCCCUGCACCUCCUUAGUGCUUUCACCUACACGUAUGCCAAGGACACCAUGCUUGGUGCCCCAUAUUUUUAUUUUUCCUGACUGAACCUUGCACAUGGCACCGAGGCCCGGUGCACCCGCUGCGUGCCAUUACCAGCAGCACAGCCAAU